rnacentral:rRNA from 1 species
GACGAACGCUGGCGGCGUGGAUUAGGCAUGCAAGUCGAACGGUAUCAUCCUUUCGGGGGUGAGAGAGUGGCAAACUGGUGAGUAACACGUAGGUUAUCUACCCUCAAGACGGGGACAACCCAGGGAAACUUGGGCUAAUACCGGAUGUGAGCAACUUUUAGUUGUUUGAAAGGUGGCGUAAGCUGUCGCUUGGGGAUGAGCCUGCGUCCUAUUAGUUAGUUGGUGAGGUAAUGGCUUACCAAGGCGAUGAUAGGUAGGCGGCCUUAACGGGUGGUCGCCCACACUGGGAUUGAGAGACGGCCCAGACUCCUACGGGAGGCAGCAGUCGAGAAUAGUCUACAAUGGACGGAAGUCUGAUAGUGCGACGCCGCGUGAACGAAGAAUCCCUUCGGGGUGUAAAGUUCUUUUAUACGUGAGCAGUGCCCUUUAAUGAAUAGUAUAGAGGGAGGGAUUUAAGCGUAUGAAUAAGCAACGGCUAACUCCGUGCCAGCAGCCGCGGUAAGACGUAGCGU